rnacentral:rRNA from 1 species
UGGGGGAUAUUGCACAAUGGGCGAAAGCCUGAUGCAGCGACGCCGCGUGGGGGAUGAAGGCCUUCGGGUUGUAAACUUCUUUUGCUCUGAACAAGGCAUGCCUUUGGGGUGUGUUGAGUGUAGGGGUUGAUUAGCGCCGGCUAACUACGUGCCAGCAGCCGCGGUAAUACGUAGGGCGCGAGCGUUGUCCGGAAUUAUUGGGCGUAAAGGGCUUGUAGGUGGCUGGUUGCGUCUGUCGUGAAAGCUCAUGGCUUAACUGUGGGUUUGCGGUGGGUACGGGCUGGCUUGAGUGCAGUAGGGGAGGCUGGAAUUCCUGGUGUAGCGGUGGACUGCGCAGAUAUCAGGAGGAAUACCGGUAGCGAAGGCGGGUCUCUGGGCUGUUACUGACGCUGAGGAGCGAAAGCGUGGGGAGCGAACAGG